rnacentral:rRNA from 1 species
UGGGGAAUAUUGGGCAAUGGGGGAAACCCUGACCCAGCAACGCCGCGUGAGGGAAGAAGGUUUUCGGAUUGUAAAAUUCUGUCUUCAGGGAAGAAGAAAGUGACGGUACCUGAGGAGGAAGCCCCGGCUAACUACGUGCCAGCAGCCGCGGUAAAACGUAGGGGGCGAGCGUUGUCCGGAAUUACUGGGCGUAAAGGGCGCGUAGGCGGUGUGGUAAGUCUCAAGGUGAAAACUAUCGGCUCAACCGGAAGCGUGCCUGAGAAACUGCCAUACUUGAGUGCAGGAGAGGGGAGUGGAAUUCCCAGUGUAGCGGUGAAAUGCGUAGAUAUUGGGAGGAACACCAGUGGCGAAGGCGGCUCUCUGGCCUGUAACUGACGCUGAGGCGCGAAAGCGUGGGGAGCGAACGGG